CGAAAUGCGAUAAGUAAUGUGAAUUGCAGAAUUCAGUGAAUCGUCGAAUCUUUGAACGCACCUUGCGCUCCUUGGUAUUCCUUGGAGCAUGCCUGUUUGAGUAUCAUGAAAUCUUCAAAGUAAAUCUUUUGUUAACUCAAUUGGUUUCUACUUUGGUAUUGGAGGUCUUUGCAGCUUCACACCUGCUCCUCUUUGUUCAUUAGCUGGAUCUCAGUGUUAUGCUUGGUUCCACUCGGCGUGAUAAGUUAUCUAUCGCUGAGGACACUGUAAAAGGUGGCCAAGGUAAAUGCAGAUGAACCGCUUCUAAUAGUCCAUUGACUUGGACAAUACUUUUAUGAUCUGAUCUCAAAUCAGGUAGGACUACCCGCUGAACUUAAGC
rnacentral:misc_RNA from 1 species